CUCAAAGCUAAUGACCUACAACUCUGCAAUGUUUGGCUUCGCGCCUCAUGGACCGUACUGGCGUGAGAUGAGGAAAUUUGCCACUAUUGAACUUCUCUCUAACCAAAGGCUUGAACUUCUCAAGGACAUAAGAACAUCUGAGUUAGAAGCUGCAACAACAAAGGCUUACAAGUUAUGGUCAAGAGAAGGUUGUCCAAAGGGAGGGGUUUUGGUAGAUAUGAAGCAGUGGUUUGGUGAUUUGACGCAUAAUAUUAUUCUGAGAAUGGUGGGAGGGAAGCCAUAUUAUGGGGCUGGUGAUGAUUAUGCAGAAGGUGAAGCCAGAAGGUAUAAGAAAACUAUGAGGGACUUUAUGAGAUUGUUUGGGGUGUUUGUGUUAUCUGAUGCAAUUCCGUUUCUGGGGUGGAUAGACAACAAUGGAUACAAAAAGGCUAUGAAGAAAACAGCUAGUGAAAUAGACACUUUGGUUGCAGGGUGGCUGGAGGAACACAAAAGAAAAAGAGCUACGAGUACAAAUGGAAAGGAAGAACAGGAUGUCAUGGGUGUUAUGCUGAAUGUUCUGCAGGAUCUUAAGGUUUCUGGUUAUGAUUCAGACACCAUCAUCAAGGCUACUUGCCUGGUAAGUAUGUCCAUCUUAUUAUAUAUAAUAAAUUCAAAAGGAAUUAAUCCAAUACAAGUACAUGACAUUGAGAUCGAUAAAAUUGAUGUAUAGAUUAUAAUAUAUUCUGAGCGUAAUUUGAUUUGUCUGUUUAAAUCUUCAGCCAAAUGUGAUUCAAUACAACAUCCAUCUUUGGUUUAGAACACAAAAAACAAGUUAGAAAGUACCAAUACUUUUUGGUAGAUAUUGAUAUCUAACUUUGAAUUCAACCAUGAACCAUGAACUGGUAUACUUUUUUUGUAGAAUCUGAUUUUGGCAGGAGGAGACAGCAUCAUGGUGGCUCUAACAUGGGCGCUAUCUCUGCUACUAAACAAUGAAAUUGAACUUAAAAAAGCUCAAGAUGAAUUGGACACUCAAAUUGGGAAGGACAGGAAGGUGGAAGAAUCUGACAUAAAGAAGUUAGCGUACCUCCAAGCCAUCGUGAAGGAAACUAUGCGCCUGUAUCCACCAAGUCCUGUAAUCACCCUUCGUGCAGCCAUGGAAGAGUGCACAUUUUCAUGUGGCUAUCACAUUCCAGCCGGCACGCAUUUAAUCGUG
rnacentral:lncRNA from 1 species